GAUGAACGCUAGCUACAGGCUUAACACAUGCAAGUCGAGGGGCAUCAGGAAGAAAGCUUGCUUUCUUUGCUGGCGACCGGCGCACGGGUGAGUAACACGUAUCCAACCUGCCCUUUACUCGGGGAUAGCCUUUCGAAAGAAAGAUUAAUACCCGAUAGCAUAAUGAUUCCGCAUGGUUUCAUUAUUAAAGGAUUCCGGUAAAGGAUGGGGAUGCGUUCCAUUAGGUUGUUGGUGAGGUAACGGCUCACCAAGCCUUCGAUGGAUAGGGGUUCUGAGAGGAAGGUCCCCCACAUUGGAACUGAGACACGGUCCAAACUCCUACGGGAGGCAGCAGUGAGGAAUAUUGGUCAAUGGGCGGUAGCCUGAACCAGCCAAGUAGCGUGAAGGAUGAAGGCUCUAUGGGUCGUAAACUUCUUUUAUAUAAGAAUAAAGUGCAGUAUGUAUACUGUUUUGUAUGUAUUAUAUGAAUAAGGAUCGGCUAACUCCGUGCCAGCAGCCGCGGUAAUACGGAGGAUCCGAGCGUUAUCCGGAUUUAUUGGGUUUAAAGGGAGCGUAGGUGGACUGGUAAGUCAGUUGUGAAAGUUUGCGGCUCAACCGUAAAAUUGCAGUUGAUACUGUCAGUCUUGAGUACAGUAGAGGUGGGCGGAAUUCGUGGUGUAGCGGUGAAAUGCUUAGAUAUCACGAAGAACUCCGAUUGCGAAGGCAGCUCACUGGACUGCAACUGACACUGAUGCUCGAAAGUGUGGGUAUCAAACAGGAUUAGAUACCCUGGUAGUCCACACAGUAAACGAUGAAUACUCGCUGUUUGCGAUAUACAGUAAGCGGCCAAGCGAAGGCAUUAAGUAUUCCACCUGGGGAGUACGCCGGCAACGGUGAAACUCAAAGGAAUUGACGGGGGCCCGCACAAGCGGAGGAACAUGUGGUUUAAUUCGAUGAUACGCGAGGAACCUUACCCGGGCUUAAAUUGCAGUGGAAUGAUGUGGAAACAUGUCAGUGAGCAAUCACCGCUGUGAAGGUGCUGCAUGGUUGUCGUCAGCUCGUGCCGUGAGGUGUCGGCUUAAGUGCCAUAACGAGCGCAACCCUUAUCUUUAGUUACUAACAGGUCAUGCUGAGGACUCUAGAGAGACUGCCGUCGUAAGAUGUGAGGAAGGUGGGGAUGACGUCAAAUCAGCACGGCCCUUACGUCCGGGGCUACACACGUGUUACAAUGGGGGGUACAGAAGGCAGCUAGCGGGUGACCGUAUGCUAAUCCCAAAAGCCUCUCUCAGUUCGGAAUCGAAGUCUGCAAACCCCGACUUUCGUGAAAGCUGGAUUCGCUAGUAAUCGCGCAUUCAGCCUCGGCGCGGUGAAUACGUUUCCCGGGCCU
rnacentral:rRNA from 1 species